rnacentral:rRNA from 1 species
AGCGAACGCUGGCGGCAGGCCUAACACAUGCAAGUCGAACGGAUCCUUCGGGAUUAGUCGCGGACGGGUGAGUAACACGUGGGAACAUGCCCUUUGGUUCGGAACAACUCAGGGACACUUGAGCUAAUACCGGAUGUGCCCUUCGGGGGAAUGAUUUAUCGCCAUUGGUGCGGCCCGCGUCUGAUUAGCUAGUUGGUGCGGUAACGGCCCACCAAGGCGACGAUCAGUAGCUGGUUUGUGAGGAUGAUCAGCCACACUGGGACUGAGACACGGCCCAGACUCCUACGGGAGGCAGCAGUGGGGAAUCUUGCGCAAUGGGCGAAAGCAUGAAGCAGCCAUGCCGCGUGAAUGAUGAAGGUCUUAGGAUUGUAAAAUUCUUUCAGCGGGGACGAUAAUGACGGUACCCGCAGAAGAAGCUCCGGCUAACUUCGUG